rnacentral:rRNA from 1 species
AGCGAACGCUGGCGGCAGGCCUAACACAUGCAAGUCGAACGAACCCUUCGGGGUUAGUGGCGGACGGGUGAGUAACACGUGGGAACGUGCCUUUAGGUUCGGAAUAACUCAGGGAAACUUGUGCUAAUACCGAAUGUGCCCUUCGGGGGAAAGAUUUAUCGCCUUUAGAGCGGCCCGCGUCUGAUUAGCUAGUUGGUGAGGUAAUGGCUCACCAAGGCUACGAUCAGUAGCUGGUCUGAGCGGAUGACGAGCCACAUUGGGACUGAGACACGGCCCAAACUCCUGCGGGAGGCAGCAGUGGGGAAUCUUGCGCAAUGGGCGAAAGCCUGACGCAGCCAUGCCGCGUGGAUGAUGAAGGUCUUAGGAUUGUAAAAUUCUUUCACCGGGGACGAUAAUGACGGUACCCGGAGAAGAAGCCCCGGCUAACUUCGUGCCAGCAGCCACCGUAACAC